rfam:Sus scrofa isolate TJ Tabasco breed Duroc chromosome 4, whole genome shotgun sequence.
UCCCUAGUGGUCUAGUGGUUAGGAUUUGGUGUUUUCACCACUUUGGCCUGGGUUCAAUUCCUGGUCUGGGUA